AUUCCAGCUCCAAUAGCGUAUAUUAAAGUUGUUGCAGUUAAAAAGCUCGUAGUUGGAUUUCUGGCGGGAGCGGCCUGUCCUGCCCUUUGCGGGGUUGAGCACAAGCGCUGCAUCCGGCCAUCCUUGUGGAGAGCGUUUCUGGCAUUCAGUUGUCGGACUCGGGAUCCGCAUCGUUUACUGUGAAAAAAUUAGAGUGUUUAAAGCAGGCAUUUGCUUGAAUACAUUAGCAUGGAAUAAUAAGAUAGGACUUUGGUGGUCUAUUUUGUUGGUUUGCACACCAAGGUAAUGAUUAAUAGUGACAGUUGGGGGUAUCCGUAUUUCGUAGUCAGAGGUGAAAUUCUUGGAUUUACGAAAGACGAACUACUGCGAAAGCAUUUACCAAGGAUGUUUUCAUUG
rnacentral:rRNA from 1 species